AUAUAUUUAACAGGUCAGACCUGCCCGGUGAUGAAUUUAACGGCCGCGGUAUAUUGACCGUGCAAAGGUAGCAUAAUCAUUAGUCUUUUAAUAGGAGGCUGGAAUGAAAGGUUUAACGAGAAAUUAUCUGUCUCAAUUACAAAAUUGAAUUUAUCUUUUAAGUCAAAAGACUUAAAUUAUGUUGGUGGACGAGAAGACCCUAUAGAGCUUUACAUAUUUUUAAUAAUUUGCUUUUUUAGGUUAAAUAUGUUUUGUUGGGGUGACAAUAAAUAUAUAUUUAACUUUUAUCAUAUUAUUUACAUUAAUAUAUGAUUUUUGGAUCCAAAAAUUUUGAUCAAUAGAUCAAGUUACCUUAGGGAUAACAGCGUAAUUUUCCCUCAGAGUUCAUAUUUACGGGAAAGAUUGCGACCUCGAUGUUGGAUUAAGAUAAUAAUUAGGUGCAGUAGCCUAAUUAAUAGGUCUGUUCGACCCUUAAAUUCUUACAUGAUAAAUAACGCCAC
rnacentral:rRNA from 1 species